AUACUUAGCUUACAGGGGGUGAUUCCAUGAUCACAAAGGCAGUUACCACAGGGUGAAGCUUAUCCACUGCAUUCCAAAUGGGUUGACCCCUGUAAUUUCCCCAAAUGUGGGAAAUUAGAUUAUAUAAUUUGUGGUAGUAGGGGAUUAUGUUCCCACUCUCCUA